rnacentral:rRNA from 1 species
CACGUAGGGCGCAAGCGUUGUCCGGAAUUAUUGGGCGUAAAGAGCUCGUAGGCGGUUUGUCGCGUCUGCUGUGAAAACCUAAGGCUCAACCUUGGGCUUGCAGUGGGUACGGGCAGACUAGAGUGCGGUAGGGGUGACUGGAAUUCCUGGUGUAGCGGUGGAAUGCGCAGAUAUCAGGAGGAACACCGAUGGCGAAGGCGGCGACCUGGGUCGAGACUGACGCUGAGGCGCGAAAGCGUGGGGAGCAAACAGG